UCCCUGGUGGCUCAGAGGUUAAAGCGUCUGCCUGCAAGGCGGGAGACCUGGGUUCGAUCCCUGGGUUGGGAA
rnacentral:tRNA from 1 species